rnacentral:rRNA from 1 species
UACGAGAGGCCCAAACGUUAUUCGGAAUUACUGGGCUUAAAGAGUUCGUAGGCGGCGCAACAAGUGGGGUGUGAAAUCCCUCGGCUCAACCGAGGAAUUGCGCUCCAAACUGUUGUGCUUGAGGGACCUAGAGGUGAGCGGAACUGAUGGUGGAGCGGUGAAAUGCGUUGAUAUCAUCAGGAACACCGGAGGCGAAGGCGGCUCACUGGGGGUCUUCUGACGCUGAGGAACGAAAGCCAGGGGAGCGAACGGG